rfam:Triticum aestivum genome assembly, contig: Triticum_aestivum_CS42_TGACv1_scaffold_225551_3B
GAGGUACUCCCUCCGUCCGUCCGAAAAUACUUGUCGGAGAAAUAGAUAAAAAUGGAUGUAUCUAGAAUUAAAAUGCGUCUACAUACAUCCAUUUCUCCGACAAGUAUUUCCGGACGGAGAAAGUAGUAU